rnacentral:rRNA from 1 species
GAUUCCCCUAGUAACUGCGAGUGAAGCGGGAAAAGCUCAAAUUUAAAAUCUGGCAGCUUUGGUUGCCCGAGUUGUAGUCUGGAGAAGCGUUUUCUGUGCUGGACCGUGUACAAGUCUCUUGGAACAGAGCGUCAUAGAGGGUGAGAAUCCCGUCUUUGAUACGGACUGCCAGUGCUUUGUGAUGCGCUCUCAAAGAGUCGAGUUGUUUGGGAAUGCAGCUCAAAAUGGGUGGUAAAUUCCAUCUAAAGCUAAAUAUUGGCGAGAGACCGAUAGCGAACAAGUACCGUGAGGGAAAGAUGAAAAGCACUUUGGAAAGAGAGUUAAACAGUACGUGAAAUUGCUGAAAGGGAAACGCUUGAAGUCAGUCGCGUUGUCCAGAACUCAGCCUGGCUUUUGCCUGGUGCAUUUUCUGGUUAACGGGCCAGCAUCAAUUUUGACCGCUGGAUAAAGGCCUUGGGAAUGUGGCUCUCUCGGGAGUGUUAUAGCCCAUGGUUGCAUACAGCGGUUGGGAUUGAGGAUCUCAGCAUGCCUUUAUGGUCGGGGUUCGCCCACGUUCAUGCUUAGGAUGCUGGCGUAAUGGCU